rnacentral:rRNA from 1 species
GACGAACGCUGGCGGCGUGCUUAAUACAUGCAAGUCGAACGAGUGGCGUACGGGUGAGUAAUAUGCGGGUAACCUGCCCUCCCCUCGGGAUAAGCCUUGGAAACGGGGUCUAUUACCGAAUAUUGGGGGAUGGGCUCGCGGCCUAUCCGCCUGUUGGUGGGGUGAUGGGCUACCAAGGCGGUGACGGCUAGCCGGGCUGAGAGGGUAACCGGCCACAGUGACACUGAGAUGAGGCCCAGACUACUACGGGGGGCAGCAGUGGGGGCUAUUGCACAAAGGGCGAAAGACUGAUGCAGCGACGCCGCGUGAGGGUUGAGGGCUUUCAGAUUGUAAUCCUCUUUCGCUAUCAAAAGGGUAGGUGGAGAAGAAGCGCCGGCUAACUACGUGCCAGCCGCCGCGGUAAUAC